rnacentral:rRNA from 1 species
UACGGGGGGGGGCAAGCGUUGUUCGGAAUUACUGGGCGUAAAGGGCUCGUAGGCGGCCAACUAAGUCCGACGUGAAAUCCCCAGGCUUAACCUGGGAACUGCGUCGGAUACUGGAUGGCUUGAAUUCGGGAGAGGGAUGCAGAAUUCCAGGUGUAGCGGUGAAAUGCGUAGAUAUCGGGAGGAACACCUGUGGCGAAAAGCGGCUCUCUGGACCACAACUGACGCUGAGGCGCGAAAGCUAGGGGAGCAAACGGG